rnacentral:rRNA from 1 species
AUUGAACGCUGGCGGAAUGCUUUACACAUGCAAGUCGAACGGCAGCACGGACUUCGGUCUGGUGGCGGGUGGCGAACGGGUGAGUAAUGUAUCGGGACGUGCCCAGUCGUGGGGGAUAACGUAGUGAAAAUUACGCUAAUACCGCAUACGAUCUAUGGAUGAAAGCGGGGGAUCGCAAGACCUCGCGCGAUUGGAGCGGCCGAUAUCAGAUUAGGUAGUUGGUGGGGUAAAGGCCCACCAAGCCAACGAUCUGUAGCUGGUCUGAGAGGACGACCAGCCACACUGGAACCGAGACACGGUCCAGACUCCUACGGGAGGCAGCAGUGGGGAAUUUUGGACAAUGGGCGAAAGCCUGAUCCAGCCAUUCCGCGUGCAGGAUGAAGGCCCUCGGGUUGUAAACUGCUUUUGUACAGAACGAAAAGGUUUCUACUAAUACUAGGAGCUCAUGACGGUACUGUAAGAAUAAGCACCGGCUAACUACGUGCCAGCAGCCGCAGUAA